GAUGAACGCUAGCGGCAGGCUUAAUACAUGCAAGUCGAGGGGCAGCAUGACUGUAGCAAUACAGUUGAUGGCGACCGGCAAACGGGUGCGGAACACGUACGGAACCUUCCUUCGAGCGGGGAAUAGCCCAGAGAAAUUUGGAUUAAUACCCCAUAGUAUAUUAGAGUGGCAUCACUUUGAUAUUAAAGAUUUAUCACUUGAAGAUGGCUGUGCGGCUGAUUAGGUAGUUGGCGGGGUAACGGCCCACCAAGCCUUCGAUCAGUAACUGGUGUGAGAGCACGACCAGUCACACGGGCACUGAGACACGGGCCCGACUCCUACGGGAGGCAGCAGUAAGGAAUAUUGGUCAAUGGACGAAAGUCUGAACCAGCCAUGCCGCGUGGAGGAUGAAGGUCCUCUGGAUUGUAAACUUCUUUUAUAUGGGACGAAAAAAGGGUUUUCGUAACUCGUCUGACGGUACCAUAUGAAUAAGCACCGGCUAACUCCGUGCCAGCAGCCG
rnacentral:rRNA from 1 species